GACGAACGCUGGCGGCGUGCUUAACACGUGCAAGUCGAACGAUGAAGCCGGAGCUUGCUCCGGUGGAUUAGUGGCGAACGGGUGAGUAACACGUGGGUGAUCUGCCCUGCACUUCGGGAUAAGCCUGGGAAACUGGGUCUAAUACCGGAUAGGACCACUGCCUGCAUGGGUGGUGGUGGAAAGCUUUUGCGGUGUGGGAUGGGCCCGCGGCCUAUCAGCUUGUUGGUGGGGUGAUGGCCUACCAAGGCGACGACGGGUAGCCGGCCUGAGAGGGUGACCGGCCACACUGGGACUGAGAUACGGCCCAGACUCCUACGGGAGGCAGCAGUGGGGAAUAUUGCACAAUGGGCGCAAGCCUGAUGCAGCGACGCCGCGUGAGGGAUGACGGCCUUCGGGUUGUAAACCUCUUUCAGCACCGACGAAGCGCAAGUGACGGUAGGUGCAGAAGAAGGACCGGCCAACUACGUGCCAGCCGCCGCCGUAA
rnacentral:rRNA from 1 species